UUAAUUCUUGGUGUAGUAUUUGACUUAGUGGCGGACGGGUGAGUAACGCGUGAACAAUCUACCCUAUGCAGGGGGACAACAGGUAGAAAUGCCUGCUAAUACCGCAUAAGACCACAGUACCGCAUGGUACCGGGGUAAAAGGAAUUUAUUCCGACAUAGGAUGAGUUUGCGUAUCAUUAGCUAGUUGGUAGUGUAAUGGACUACCAAGGCGACGAUGAUUAGCCGGCCUGAGAGGGUGAUCGGCCACACUGGGACUGAGACACGGCCCAGACUCC
rnacentral:rRNA from 1 species